AAGUACAUCUCAUUGCAUUGCUAACUGGUGGUAGAGCAGAGGUGGUACCUCUAGUCUCUGAAGAAAUCUGUGCCAUCCAGUUUCCUUCAGUCAUCCCAAAGCUAAGGAAUUUGCAUCACGGGCCAUAGCAGUUGGCUGAAACUCUCAUCUGAUGGUCUUUGAAGACUUAAUUUAUAGAAUCUGACCUUCACAUGAGUCCUGUGAAGAAAGAAAUUGUAAAGGAAUGCAAGGAUGAUUGAAUGAGCCCGCCAUCUUCCUUCUGAGCCCAGCAGAGGCUCCAGAGUGCUCUCCACACUGCAGGACCUCUGGAUCACCUCGGGAUCACAGCUACUCUCUGAUGAAGUUGGUGGCGCUGUGGAGGAGGACCGCCGCCUCCUGGACGAGGACCGGGAGCGCUCAGCAUUGUAGGAGACAUGCUUGUCGUAGUUCUCCAUCUGUGUCUCAAUGAAGUCCCUUUGCUGCUGUCUGAUGGUCUGGCUGAUUAGCCCAGGGAGGGCAUGAAUGCUACCAAUCAAAGUCUCUAGUUUUGUUUCCAGGGUGACGAUCCUUUUCUCAAAGUCUUCACUCCUUUCAUUCAAGUCGGAAAUCAUGUCAUACAUGAUAUUCUGGGUCUGGAAAACAAGAAUGAGAAGAUAGAAACAGAGAAGGAAGAGGCUUAGUGACUUUUGCCUCAGAAGCGAACUGUCAACUCUUCAAGCUUCAGCACUGGCCUCUUGACAGGUGUGUCAGCUAACAGAAGAGUUUAGGUCACAAAGC
rnacentral:lncRNA from 1 species